UUUUUUUUUUUUUUUGGGGGGGGGGGGGGGGGGGUCCAUCCAUUUGUCGACGACUCUAUCAUUUUGCUAGAGUAUUCAGAUUCAAAGCAGUGUAUGGCAUAUUAGACAUCAUGUAUUUUACUUCCGUCUAUAUUAUGUUUUUUGUUGUUGUUGAUUGAAUUUAUACAUGACAAAAAACCUAUUAAAACCACCUGAACAUUUGGCAUCAUUGAAAUAAAAUGAUGAAAUGAAAAACAUACAGAUGAUUUUAAUUAUUUUGUUCCUCAUAUGAUAUGAAUAAUGAUCUUACUUGCCUAAAGGGUUACACACAUUAAAAUCUUCUCCGUUAACUAUUAACAACUGAAUUCUCCCAUUCGCAUAGCCUUAAUACAGGAACCACCCGGUUCCUCUAAACAUUGGGUUAAAACUGACCGGUUUAUUUGCAAGCUGCCUGUAAUGUCAUAUACAUUUAUACCGGUAUCUGUAUUUCAGUAUAGUUGUGUAUGUACUGUUGAAAGAUAAUUUGCUCCUUGUGUAUCAAAUAGUUGGAACAUAUGUUAAUAUCAACUGUUCUCGCCCCUGAAUCUGCCUGAUUUAAUACCCUUUCUAUCCCAUGAUUUGGGGAUGUAUUCCACUGGAGAUCUCACAGUCUACCCCCUUUAAAGGGCCACUCCAACCAAAACGGGCUAAGAAAUUAAAAAAAAAAGACAUGUAGAAUAAUUUUUGACGGAGAUUCCGAACAUGACAUUGAUUUUUCUUAGAAAUCAUCAAUAAUUCUGGAAUCUAGCUUUAAAAAUGAUGACUCAGAACGCGCAGGAAAAAAAACAACCCAGUUUCGGAGAUGAUGCAUUUGACGUCACUGCAGGCGCCUCUCCAGUGUAAAGGAGGGUGAUUUAGCCAUUAAAAUGUCUUUAAAAGGGCAAACUAUGAUAUCAAUUGGAAG